rnacentral:lncRNA from 1 species
AGAACAAAGGCCUGGAGACUGGAGCGAGCUGCGUUCUUGGGGGUGGGGGGUGGGGCGGCAGCUGGAGAGUGGGGGCUUCCCCAGCGGGAGAGGGAGGACGAUUCUGGAUGGCUUCCCUCCUUGUGGACAGAGUGAGUCUCUGCUAUGAGAAAGUAGAGACGGGGUUUCACCGUCUUAGCCAGGAUGGUCUCGAUCUCCUGACCUCGUGAUCCGCCCGCCUCGGCCUCCCAAAGUGCUAGGACUAACAGGCGUGAGCCACCGCACCCGGCCAAGCUGGAUCUUAAGCUUGCUUACCGGUGACUUGUUGACCUCAUCUUGGCUCAAAGAAGACACGGCCCCAGACCCGUGUUGGAGCCACACUGCCCGGGACAGCCCUGAAGCAGCCACGUCCCCACCUUUCAGGAGUCGGCCAAGAGCACGGUGGCUGCAGAAGGCCCUGGCUGAUGGAGAUAACAUUUGACAAACAGGGUGAGCGCCUUCCCCCUCCGCCCCUCUUUUAGAAACCCGGCGUUCUUUAUGGCUUUGCUCAGGUAGAUCAUUCAUUGCCAUAAAUUUUCUUAUCUCCAGUGCUUUUCCAAUUAUGGAUAACAACAGAAAAGCAGUCAUUGGUUUCUAAAAGGUCAUCAAGAUAUAAAGCCCGUUUGGGAAGGGAAUGACUUACGCAGUGGGCUUGUAUAAAUCUGGAGAAGUUUUAUGCACAAGUCGGACAAGAAAUGUGUUCUACAUACGGCUCGGGAGCCAGCAAGUGCGUAUGAAGCCCCUUCACAUGGCUAGUGGCAUCCUAAGGACCCGGCGACAAUUAGUCAUGGCGUCAUCGAACACCAGGCUGGAGGAGGUCUUGGAUGCCACAGCUCCUUUUGAAUUUCAAAGACGUUCAAAUCCCCAUCUGGCUGUUACACUUUUAGGCUAUUGAGAGUGAAAACAAGCACUGACAUGAACACCCAACCAGCUGCCGGUGACAUCGUCCCCUUCUGAGAUCUGAGGACAUGGAUACCCAACCACCUGCCGGUGACAUCGUCUCCUUCUGAGAUCUGAGGACAUGAACACCCAACCACCUGCCGGUGAUAUCGUCCCCUUCUGAGAUCUGAGGACGUGGAUAUCCAACCACCUGCCGGUGACAUUGUCUCCUUCUGAGAUCUGAGGACAUGGACACCAAACCACCUGCCGGUGACAUUGUCUCCUUCUGAGAUCUGAGGACAUGAACACCAAACCACCUGCCAGUGACAUCGUCCCCUUCUGAGAUCUGAGGACAUGGAUACCCAACCACCUGCCGGUGACAUCGUCUCCUUCUGAGAUCUGAGGACAUGGACACCCAACCACCUGCCGGUGACAUCGUCUCCUUCUGAGAUCUGAGGACAUGAACACCCAACCACCUGC